rnacentral:rRNA from 1 species
UACGGGGGGGGCAAGCGUUGUUCGGAAUUACUGGGCGUAAAGGGUCUGUAGGUGGCCCGCUAAGUCACACGUGAAAUCCCCGGGCUCAACCUGGGAACUGCAUUUGUGACUGCAUCGCUGGAGUGCGGCAGAGGGGGAUGGAAUUCCGCGUGUAGCAGUGAAAUGCGUAGAUAUGCGGAGGAACACGAUGGCGAAGGCAAUCCCCUGGGCCUGCACUGACGCUCAUGCACGAAAGCGUGGGGAGCAAACAGG